CCUACGGGAGGCAGCAGUGAGGAAUAUUGGUCAAUGGGCGUACGCCUGAACCAGCCAAGUCGCGUGAGGGAAGACUGCCCUAUGGGUUGUAAACCUCUUUUGUCAGGGAGCAACGCCGGCUACGUGUAGCCGGACUGAGAGUACCUGAAGAAAAAGCAUCGGCUAACUACGUGCCAGCAGCCGCGGUAAUACGUAGGGGGCAAGCGUUAUCCGGAUUUACUGGGUGUACAGGGAGCGUAGACGGUGCGCCAAGUCUGGCGUGAAAUGCCGCGGCUUAACUGCGGAACUGCAUUGGAAACUGGCGAACGAGAGGUCAGGAGAGGUAGGCGGAAUUCUUGGUGUAGCGGUGAAAUGCGUAGAUAUAAGGAGGAACACCGGUGGCGAAGGCGGCUUGCUGGACCGUAACUGACGUUGAGGCUCGAAAGCGUGGGGAGCAAACAGGAUUAGAUACCCGAGUAGUC
rnacentral:rRNA from 1 species